CAAAUCUGAAUCGUCAGAUUGAUCGAAGCGUCCAGAUUUGAUCAUGGGGAGACACAGUCUUAGCCAUUAGAUCUUAAUCAAACGUCACAAGAGAAGAAGAACAAAGUAAAAACCAAGAGGUGAGACGCAUCUGAUCAAAACAGGGGAUAACAUUGGCCGUUAGAUCUAGGAUCUAACGGUUCAACCCUGAUGGUCCAUG
rnacentral:lncRNA from 1 species